rnacentral:rRNA from 1 species
UCGACCUCAGAUCAGGCGAGACAACCCCCUGAAUUUAAGCAUAGAAUUCAC